rnacentral:tRNA from 1 species
GCCUUCGUGGUGUAGUGGUCAGCACGCUGGGCGCGUAUUCCAGAGGUCCCUGGUUCGAGUCCCGGCGAAGACG